CGAUCUGGGAGACGGGAGGUGAUGCCUGAGGCCAAGGAGCCCCUCCAGAAGGGCACUUAUGGGUCUUCCAGCUUCACUGACUUCCCCUCCAACGUCCUCUUCUGUCCCCCACAUCCGGUGAGUGGCCCCCAGCCCGUCCACCCCGCUUCGUCUUGCUUUGCCAGCAAACCGUCCUGUGGGCCUGCUGGAAAGGCCCCGGAAGGAGGAGCAGCUCUGGGAGAGAAUUGAAGGACAAGGAGAGACAGACUCUGCCGUGGCCACGGCUGGCAAGGGGCUGCAGAGACCCAGCAAGACCACAGAAAGGUGGAGCACCUCGGCACUGGGGCCCGGCUGCCUGGGCUGGGGACCAGCUCCACCAUGUCAUAGCUGUGGGACCUUGAUCCCUGUGCCUCGGUUUCCCUAUCUGUAAAAUGGGAGCCAUCCAGUUCCUGCCUUGUAGGUGGUUUUGCUGAGGGUGCGCGAGUACACGUCCAGGGCACAGAACCGGGCUGAGUGCGGGCUGCAUGCUGCACGUCCGGGUGGGAGAGCACAAAGGAUCCACAAGAGCAGAGCAAAGACCCUCCUUGGCCGGUGGCGGUCAGGGUCGGAGUGUGGAAGCUGCGCACAUUUCUCCUGGUGUCGGAGAUGAGGGGCACCUGCACCGGCUGAGAGCUGAGCUUUUAUACAUUCCUUGAGAUGAGCCCUGUGGUGCCUGGUGCUCAGCAUUUGUGGACGGGCAAGCAGCUGUCCAGGUCUGCAACCCCCUCCUCUGCCUGGUGAUGAGACCACGGCUCGGGGGACGCGCGGGGACAGACGGGAGCCUGCAACUCUGAGUCAGAAGCCGGCGACCACUCCCCUCCCCGGAUGGACGACGCACGACUUGAGGGACCCCCCUUCUGCCACGGAGCCUCAGCGGGGACGUCACUCAGGCCUGCUCCCCCCGAGCAGGAGGCUCUGCUGCGGGGGUCCAGGGGAGGCAGGGCCGGGGGUGGGGCUUCUCUGGCUUUGGACCCAGUUGGUGUCAGCGGAGGGCCCGGGAGCUCCUGAGGGCAGGACCCCAGGCCGUGGGGAGUGAGGCUGGGGGGCUUCGGGGUGGAGAUGGCUCUGAGCAGACUCCUAGGAGGCCGAGCAGAGGCAGCUCGGAGCAGAGGCUCAGAGGCAGGGACGGUGUGGGAGGAACGGACCCCGGGGAGAGAGUUUCUGGGAGCUCGUGGGAGUCAGUGAACCCCAGGCCUCAUCAUUUGGACUUUGACACAGCGGCAGUAGGGACACAUGGAAGGUGUCGGAGCAGCCGAGGCCAGGCUGCAUCCGGAGGGGGAUCUGGCCAUGCACUGGGGGAGUGGGUGGGAGGAGGCCAGGAGCUGGUCCAGGCCGGAGGGG